rnacentral:rRNA from 1 species
CCGGCUAACUCUGUGCCAGCAGCCGCGGUAAUACAGAGGGUGCAAGCGUUAAUCGGAAUUACUGGGCGUAAAGCGAGCGUAGGUGGCUUGAUAAGUCAGAUGUGAAAUCCCCGGGCUUAACCUGGGAACUGCAUCUGAUACUGUUAGGCUAGAAUAGGUGAGAGGAAGGUAGAAUUCCAGGUGUAGCGGUGAAAUGCGUAGAGAUCUGGAGGAAUACCGAUGGCGAAGGCAGCCUUCUGGCAUCAUAUUGACACUGAGGUUCGAAAGCGUGGGUAGCAAACAGGAUUAGAUACCCUGGUAGUCCACGCCGUAAACGAUGUCUACUAGUCGUUGGGUCCCUUGAGGACUUAGUGACGCAGCUAACGCAAUAAGUAGACCGCCUGGGGAGUACGGCCGCAAGGUUAAAACUCAAAUGAAUUGACGGUGGGUCGACGCGGCCG